CUUGAGGAAGCAACUUCAGUUGUUUAGUUUCUAAUGUGUUUUCUUCUUCCAACAGGGAGAAAGAGGCUUGCCUGGACUACAGGGUGUGAUUGGGUUUCCUGGAAUGCAAGGACCUGAAGGUCCCCCUGGGCCACCAGGGCUUAAGGGUGAUACUGGAGAACCAGGACUGCCAGGAACAAAAGGAACAAGAGGCCCCCCAGGAGCAUCAGGCUUUCCAGGAAACCCAGGCCUUCCUGGCAUUCCUGGACAAGAUGGCCCUCCUGGUCCACCUGGCAUUCCAGGAUGUAAUGGCACAAAGGUGACGUUUACAUAUGUUUAUAACAGCAUCUCUGUAUUGAAAUAA
rnacentral:lncRNA from 1 species